UUGUGUAGUGUUUGUUGUCUUUUGUGAUUUAUUUUUAUGAUAGCGUAUUAGUUUUAAUUUAAGAGCUGUGAUAGUCUAGCAUUUUUGCUGUCCUUCGAUGACAAGUUUUUCUGUUAUAAAU